rnacentral:rRNA from 1 species
UGGGGAAUAUUGCACAAUGAGCGCAAGCCUGAUGCAGCCAUGCCGCGUGUAUGAAGAAGGCCUUCGGGUUGUAAAGUACUUUCAGCGGGGAGGAAGGGAGUAAAGUUAAUACCUUUGCUCAUUGACGUUACCCGCAGAAGAAGCACCGGCUAACUCCGUGCCAGCAGCCGCGGUAAUACGGAGGGUGCAAGCGUUAAUCGGAAUUACUGGGCGUAAAGCGCACGCAGGCGGUUUGUUAAGUCAGAUGUGAAAUCCCCGGGCUCAACCUGGGAACUGCAUCUGAUACUGGCAAGCUUGAGUCUCGUAGAGGGGGGUAGAAUUCCAGGUGUAGCGGUGAAAUGCGUAGAGAUCUGGAGGAAUACCGGUGGCGAAGGCGGCCCCCUGGACGAAGACUGACGCUCAGGUGCGAAAGCGUGGGGAGCAAACAGG